CUACGGGUGGCAGCAGUGAGGAAUAUUGCACAAUGGGGGGAACCCUGAUGCAGCAACGCCGCGUGGAGGAUGACGCAUUUCGGUGUGUAAACUCCUUUUAUAUGUCAAGAAAAUGACGGUAGCAUAUGAAUAAGCACCGGCUAACUCCGUGCCAGCAGCCGCGGUAAUACGGAGGGUGCAAGCAUUACUCGGAAUCACUGGGCGUAAAGGACGCGUAGGCGAGUUGAAAAGUCAGGUGUGAAAUCCUACAGCUUAACUGUAGAACUGCACUUGAAACUUCUAAUCUAGAGUAUGGGAGGGGGAGAUGGAAUUAGUGGUGUAGGGGUAAGAUCCGUAGAUAUCACUAGGAAUACCUAAAGCGAAGGCGAUCUCCUGGAACAUUACUGACGCUAAGGCGUGAAAGCGUGGGGAGCAAACAGGAUUAGAUACCCCCGUAGUC
rnacentral:rRNA from 1 species